rfam:Candidatus Aminicenantes bacterium RBG_13_62_12 RBG_13_scaffold_375, whole genome shotgun sequence.
AGGUGAGUAGCUCAACUGGUUAGAGCAGCGGUCUCCAAAACCGCAGGUUGCGGGUUCGAGUCCUGCCUCACCUG